rnacentral:rRNA from 1 species
UACGUAGGGUGCAAGCGUUGUCCGGAAUUAUUGGGCGUAAAGAGCUCGUAGGCGGCCUGUCGCGUCGGCUGUGAAAACCCAGGGCUCAACCCCGGGCCUGCAGUCGAUACGGGCAGGCUAGAGUCCGGCAGGGGAGACUGGAAUUCCUGGUGUAGCGGUGAAAUGCGCAGAUAUCAGGAGGAACACCGGUGGCGAAGGCGGGUCUCUGGGCCGAUACUGACACUGAGAAGCGAAAGCGUGGGGAGCGAACAGG